rnacentral:rRNA from 1 species
UACGUAGGGUGCAAGCGUUGUCCGGAAUUAUUGGGCGUAAAGAGCUCGUAGGCGGUUUGUCGCGUCGGGAGUGAAAUCCACUGGCUUAACUGGUGGCUUGCUUUCGAUACGGGCAGACUGGAGGUAUGCAGGGGAGGACGGAAUUCCUGGUGUAGCGGUGAAAUGCGCAGAUAUCAGGAGGAACACCGGUGGCGAAGGCGGUUCUCUGGGCAUGUCCUGACGCUGAGGAGCGAAAGUGUGGGGAGCGAACAGG